AUUGAACGCUGGCGGCAGGCUUAACACAUGCAAGUCGAACGAUGACUCUCUAGCUUGCUAGAGAUGAUUAGUGGCGGACGGGUGAGUAACAUUUAGGAAUCUGCCUAGUAGUGGGGGAUAGCUCGGGGAAACUCGAAUUAAUACCGCAUACGACCUACGGGUGAAAGGGGGCGCAAGCUCUUGCUAUUAGAUGAGCCUAAAUCAGAUUAGCUAGUUGGUGGGGUAAAGGCCCACCAAGGCGACGAUCUGUAACUGGUCUGAGAGGAUGAUCAGUCACACCGGAACUGAGACACGGUCCGGACUCCUACGGGAGGCAGCAGUGGGGAAUAUUGGACAAUGGGGGCAACCCUGAUCCAGCCAUGCCGCGUGUGUGAAGAAGGCCUUUUGGUUGUAAAGCACUUUAAGCAGGGAGGAGAGGCUAAUGGUUAAUA
rnacentral:rRNA from 1 species